UACGUAGGGACCGAGCGUUGUCCGGAAUCAUUGGGCGUAAAGAGCGUGUAGGCGGCUUGCUAAGUCUUGCGUGAAAUCUCGGGGCUUAACCCAGAACGGUCAGCUGAUACUGCGGGGCUAGAGUGCAGAAGGGGCAACUGGAAUUCUCGGUGUAGCGGUGAAAUGCGUAGAUAUCGAGAGGAACACCUGCGGCGAAGGCGGGUUGCUGGGCUGACACUGACGCUGACAGCGCGAAAGCUAGGGGAGCGAACGGG
rnacentral:rRNA from 1 species